rnacentral:rRNA from 1 species
AGUUUGAUCCUGGCUCAGGAUGAACGCUAGCUACAGGCUUAACACAUGCAAGUCGAGGGGAAACGACAUCGAAAGCUUGCUUUUGAUGGGCGUCGACCGGCGCACGGGUGAGUAACGCGUAUCCAACCUGCCCACCACUUGGGGAUAACCUUGCGAAAGUAAGACUAAUACCCAAUGACGUCUCUAGAAGGCAUCUGAAAGAGAUUAAAGAUUUAUCGGUGAUGGAUGGGGAUGCGUCUGAUUAGCUUGUUGGCGGGGUAACGGCCCACCAAGGCUACGAUCAGUAGGGGUUCUGAGAGGAAGGUCCCCCACAUUGGAACUGAGACACGGUCCAAACUCCUACGGGAGGCAGCAGUGAGGAAUAUUGGUCAAUGGACGAGAGUCUGAACCAGCCAAGUAGCGUGCAGGAUGACGGCCCUAUGGGUUGUAAACUGCUUUUAUAAGGGAAUAAAGUGAGUCUCGUGAGACUUUUUGCAUGUACCUUAUGAAUAAGGACCGGCUAAUUCCGUGCCAGCAGCCGCGGUAAUACGGAAGGUCCGGGCGUUAUCCGGAUUUAUUGGGUUUAAAGGGAGCGUAGGCCGGAGAUUAAGCGUGUUGUGAAAUGUAGACGCUCAACGUCUGCACUGCAGCGCGAACUGGUUUCCUUGAGUACGCACAAAGUGGGCGGAAUUCGUGGUGUAGCGGUGAAAUGCUUAGAUAUCACGAAGAACUCCGAUUGCGAAGGCAGCUCACUGGAGCGCAACUGACGCUGAAGCUCGAAAGUGCGGGUAUCGAACAGGAUUAGAUACCCUGGUAGUCCGCACGGUAAACGAUGGAUGCCCGCUGUUGGUCUGAAUAGGUCAGCGGCCAAGCGAAAGCAUUAAGCAUCCCACCUGGGGAGUACGCCGGCAACGGUGAAACUCAAAGGAAUUGACGG